GACGCUGCCCCCUGCCGCCCGGAGGGUGACAGCGGCCGCCCCGCGGACUCGGGUCCGCGGACUCGGGACAAGGCAGCGCUGGACACGGCGGCAAAUCACUGGGAGAAAUAACACAAGAAGGAGCAAAGUGAAGGAUCGGUCAGGAAUGCCGCUGUUUCCCAUUAAAAUCAGUGCCUGGUGAAGAAAAGCACUUUCUGCAUUUACUCGUGACUUGCGGAAAUCUAAAAGAGGAAUUCGCUGCUACUGAGCAAUAUUUUUGUGCUCGUUGGUACUUUGCUGAUGGGACUGAGCAAGACGGCCAAAUCCUUUGAAAUGAUUUUAAUUGGGAGAUUUUUUACUGGAAUAAGCUCAGGUGUGGGAGUGAAUAUCAACCCCAUGUACCUCGGUGAGAGUGCACCAAAGAAGAUACGAGGCAUAGUGGCCUUGUCAUAUGCUCCGUUCACUGCAGUGGGAUUAGUGACUGGGCAGGUUUUAGGUCUUAGCCCCAGUACACCCAGGGACUAAACAUUGAGGUCUGUGCCCAAACUCUGGAAUUUGCUCGGGAAACCUUUCCAUCUUUCCAUCUCUCUUUGUGUCUCUAUUUCUUGAGGACGUUCCUACUAUGGCAAAGGUUUUGGUUUCCUCAUCUGUCACCUUCAUUUUUUCACAUUGUCAAACUCUGCUUGAUGGCAAUUUCUGUGAAUGGCCCUGGCUGUUUGAUUAUAUUAAAAAAUUGUUAUUUAAAUGCAGUCGUUUGCUAAGUAAGUUAAUUGAAAAGAUGAAGGCACCAAAAAAGAGAUCUUCUCACUUUGUAUCCCUGCAACAUGUGAACUUUUGAUUAAGAACUGAGAAAGCUGCAGCUACACCCUAAAGUGUAAAUGUACAAACUAUCCAAUCCCCAGAGAACCUUGCUGCGCUAUUCAUCGUGCUCACUAACAGUUGUGUGGCAUUAGAUUAGAAUACAGUCUUUAAUACACUCCCAGAUGCCUGUCAUAGGUAGAGUACAGCACAGAAACAGGCCCUUCAGCCCAUCUAGUCUGUGCUGAACCAUUAAUCUGUCUAGUCCCAUCGAUCUGCACCCAGACCAUAGACCUCCAUAACCCCCUCAUCCAUGAACCCAUCCAAAUUUCUCUUAAGUGUUGAGAUUGAUCCAGGCCAAACCAAUGUGACAAAAGCAUUCAAGGCAAGUUGGGGAAAUGAUUAUCUGGGAAAGGGUACAAGGCACUGAACAUACCUCGGGCUCAGUGCAGUCCAUCGUGAAGAAGUGGGAAAAGUAUGAAACCACAGCCACUCUGCCUAGGUCAGGCCACCCCUCUAAACUUAGUUUCCAGAGUAGUUGAGAGAGUGGGUAGUUUCAAAUUCCUCAAUACACAUCACUGAGGAUCUCACCUGGACUGUACAUACCGGCUGUGUGGUGAAAAAAGCACAACAGCGCCUCUUUCACCUCAGACAGCUGAAAAGGUUCAGCAUGAGUCCCCAAAUCCUCAGGACUACAGGGGCACAACUGAGAGCAUCCUGACUGGCUGCAUCACUGCUUGGUACGGGAACUGUACUUCCCUCAAUCGCAGGGCACUGCAGAGAGUGGUGCGGACAGCCCAGUGUAUCUGUGGGUGUGAACUUCCCUCUAUUCAGAACAUUUACAGCAGCUGGUGCAUAAAAAGGGCCUGGAAGAUCAUCAGGGAUUUCAGCCACCCCGAACACAAACUCUCUCAGCUGCUACUGUCUGGCAAACUGUACAGCAGCAUCAAGGCAAGGAUCAACAGGCUCAGAGACAGCUUCUCUCACCAGGCCAUCAGACUUAUCAAGUCAAGUCAAAUUUAUUUAUAAAGCACAUUUAAAAACAACCCAUGUUGACCAAAGUGCUGUACAAAGCAUAACAGGUAGCUAAAAUCAUAAAUACAAGAACCACAGAUAUAAACAACGAGGCACACAGCUUAUAGACACAAAAUAAACAACACAUGAGCCGAGGCACAAGCCAAAAAUCAGCCACAUCAGGAAGAUUCAAACGCUAGUGAAUAAAGGUAAGAUUUGAGCCUGGAUUUAAAAGAGUCAAUAGAGGGGGCAGCUCUGAUAGGGAGGGGAAUUCUGUUCCACAGUCUAGGGACUGCAAUAGCAAAGGUGCGGUCACCGCUGAGCUUAAAUUUAGAUCGCAGGACAGCCAGGAGCCCCAAGUAAGCCGACCUGAGGGACCUGGAAAUAGAAUAAGGGGUUAGAAGGUCUGCGAUAUCGGAGGGGGCCAGCUCAUUUAGGGCUUUAUAAACAAACAGGAGAACCUUAAAAUCAAUUAUAAGCCAUACUGGCAGGCAGUGGGGAGAGGCCAGGAUAGGAGUAAUAUGGUCCCUCUUCUGGGCACCUGUCAGGAGCCUGGCUGCGGCGUUCUGGACCAGUUGCAGACGGGAGAGGGACGACUGACUAAUCCCAGUAUACAGGGAGUUGGAGUAGUCCAAGCGGGAGGAUACAAGGGCGUGGGUGACUUUCUCGAGAUCUCUGAAAGAGAGAAAUGACUUGAUUUUGGCAAUAGUACGAAGCUGGAAAAAACUGGCUUUUACUACUGCAUUAACUUGCUUGUCAAACUUAAAGGCGGAAUCAAAUGUCACACUAAGGGAUUUAACGUGGGGUUUGACACGGGUGGACAGGUUACCAAGACUGUUGGUACUCACUUUGAUGGAGUCAGGGGGGCAAAAUAGGACAACUUCAGACUUGCCUUCAUUCAGCUGUAGGAAGUUUUGUGCCAUCCAACACUGUAUGUUCUCAAGGCAGUUCAUGAGGCUGACUAGAUUUGACUGGUCACAUUUCAGACUGUACAGACAUGUAUACAACCUUAGAGUUUGGCCAAUAUCCUCCUACAUUCCCCUCUUUAUUUCUUGUACAUUGUGAUGGAGACACAACAUAAAGACUUUCACUCCUUUGGAUGUAAGAUAUUAAAUAAAUAAAUAAGAAUAGCCCUUGUGAAAGAGGCUGCUGUGAUGCCAGCAGUCAGUCUGAGUGAGCUGCCGAAGUCAUUGGCUCCAACUGAAGUUGAAGUUCAUGGCUCCACAAUCUCUGAAGCCUUGCACAGAAAAGGGAUUUAUGGAAGAUUGGCAAGGGAGGAGCCCUGGCUUUUAAAAAAAACAUAUCCUUGCUCGUAAAGUCUUCGCAGAUUGUCACUUAGAAGACACUGUAAAGAUGUAGAAGAAGGUCUUGUAGCUGGAUGAGAUUAAAGUGGACUAUUUUUACCUCAGCACAUAGGGUGUAAAUCUAAUACUGCGCAUCAGCCAGGUAAUACCAUUCCUACGGUAGACAGUGGUGGGGGUGGCAUCAUGUUAUGGGGAUGCUUUUCACUAGCAGGGACUGAAAGUCUGGUCAGGAUUGAUGGGAAAAUGAAAGCUGCUAAAUACAAUGAGAUCCUGGAUAAAAACCUGCUAGCCUCUGCCAGGAAGCUUAAAAUGAGGAGUGAGUUUGUUUUCAGCAGUAUAACGACCCAAAGAACACUGCCAGAUCCACUGGGGAGUGGCUUCAAAUGAUGAAAAUUGAUGACCUUGAGUAGCCUACUCAGAGUUUUGAGCUUAACCCAAUUGAACAUCUCUGACAAGACCUUAAGGUUGCUGUCCACUGCCGCUCCCUACCUAACCUGGCUCAUCUUGAGCAAUUUUGCAAGGAGGAAUGGACAAGUCUUGCUGCAUCACGUUGUGCAAAGCUACUAGAGACUUAUCCAAAGAGACUACUGGCUGAUAAUAGUGACGCAAGGUGGUUCAAAGUAAAAGUAAUAGCAAUAAAUACUGAACAUGAAAUAACAAUAUAACAAAGUUCUUGAAUAAGUGUAGCUAUUCCCUUUUGUUUAAGAGCCUGAUGGUUGAGGGGUAGUAACUGUUCUUGAACCUGGUAGUGCGAGUCCUGAGGCUCCUGUAUCUUCUACCUGAUGGCAGCAGCGGAAACAGAGCACGGCCUGGAUGGGCAGCGUUUCAUGUAGAUGUGCUCAAUGGUUGUGAGGGCUUUACCCAUAAGAGCAUAAGAUAUAGGAGCAGAAUUAGGCCAUUUGGUCCAUCAAGUCUGCUCUGCUAUUCAAAUCAUGGCCGAUCCUUUUCUCUCCUCCUCAACCCCACUCCCCAGCCUUCUCCCCAUAACCUUCGAUGCCGUGUCCAAACAAGAACCUAGCAAUCUCUGCCUUAAAUACAGCCAACGACCUGGCCUCCACAGCUGCCUGUGGUAACAAAUUACACAAAUUCACCACCCUCUGGCUAAAGAACUUUCUCAGCAUCUCUGUUUUAAAUGGACGCUCCUCUAUCCUGAGGCUGUGCCCUCUUGUCCUAGAUUCCCCCACCAUGGGAAACAUCUUUUCCACAUCUCCUAUAUAGGCCUUUCAACGUUGGAAAGAUUUCAAUGAAAUUCCCCCUCAACCUAAAUUCCAGCGAGUACAGACCCAGAGCUGUCAAACGUUCCUCGUAUGAUAACCCUUAAGUUAUCGGAAUCAUCCUUGUGAACCUCCUCUGAACCCUCUCCAAUGCCAGCACAUCUUUGCUUAGAUGAGAAGCCCAAAACUGUUCACAAUACUCAAGGUGAGGCCUCACCAGUGCCUUAUAAAGCCUCAGCAUCAUAUCCCUGCUCUUGUAUUCUAGACCUCUUGAAAUGAAUGCUAACUUGUAUCUGGUGUUGGAUCUGUACUUUGCCACACAGUUAUAGGUGUAAAAUGAGUAAAGCAGGGCCUUGUGGUGCUCCUGUGCUGAUGGAGAUUGCAGGGGAGAUGUUUUUGCCAAUCCGAACUGACUGGGGUCUACAGGUGAGGAAAUCCAGGAUCCAAUUGCACAAGGGGGUAUUGAAGCCUGAAUCUUGGAGUUUACUGAUUAGUUUUGAGGGGAUGAUGGUAUUAAAUACUGAGCCGUAAUUGAUAAAGAGCACCUUGAUGUAUGCAUCUUUGCUGUCCACAUGUUCCAAGGUUGUGUGAAGAGCCAAUGAGAUGGCCUCCGCUGUAGACCUGUUCCUUCAGUAAGCUAAUUGGAGUGGAUCCAAGUCACCAUUCAGACAGGAGCUGAGAUGCUUCAACACCAGCCUCUCAAAACACUUCAUCACUGUGGAUGUAAGUGCCACUGGGUGAUGGUAAUUUAGACAGGUUACCAUGCUCUUCUUGGGCACCAGUAUGAUUGAAGCCUGCUUUAGGCGGUGGGUACCACACACUGCUGGAGUGAGAGUGAGAGGCUGAAGAUAUCCGUGAAUACACCAGCCAGUUGGUUGGCACAGGUCUUCAGCACUUGGCCAGGUACUCCAUCCGGACCGGAUGCUUUCCUUGGACUCACUCUCUGGAAGACAUCUUCAGAUACUGAGACCAAAGGAUCAUUGGGGGACAUGGGGGUAUGCGAUGGUUCCUCACUGUUCUGGUGGUCAAAGCGAGCAGAGAAGGCAUUGAGUUCAUCUGGAUGCAAAGCUCUGUGCCCCUGUGUCGCAAGAUUUAGCUUUGUAGGAGGCUAUGGCAUUCAAACACUGCCACAGCUGUCGAGCAUCCCUCAUUGAUUCCAGUAUUGUCUGGAAUCUCCACUUUGCCUAAGGGGUGGCUUUCCAGAGAUCAUACCUGUACCUCUUGUAGCAUUCCUGAUCUCCAGAUCGGAAUGCCUCUGAUCUGGCUCUCAGCAGGUUCUGGAUUUCCUUGUUCAUCCAGGGCUUCUGAUUGGAGGAAGUGUGGAAUGAUGUCAUUGGGACACACCCGUCCACAGCUGACUUGGCCAGUCCACUGACUCAAGGCAAUCCUGUAACCGUUCUCCUGCCUCCCACCACCACCUCUUGGUUGUAUUAAGUACUGAGCAAAGAGGAAUGAAUACUUUUGAAAUGCUGACAUUACAGGUUUUGAAUUUUUUAGUUUUUCCUGUGUUUGGGCAAUAUUGUGGAAAAAAAGAGCAGGUGAUUCACAAAUACAAAUUCUCAGUUAAAUUGAUCAAGAUCCCUGGUUGCAAUACUUAUUUAUAUGAACAAAGGGUUGGGGCUGAAUGCUUUUAUAAGGCACAGUAUCUCCCAGAAGUAAUUUAUGAAGAGAGCUGAAGUGCCUAAAUUUCUGAUUAUAGCAACCUUUAACAUUUUAUAAAGAAACUGAAGGUAUUGAAGGGUUAGUAGGAAAGAUAAGGAGAAACUGCUACGUUUGGAGAGGGACUUCAGAAUUAGGGAUGAUAAAAUAGAACAUUACAGCACAGAACAGGCCCUUUGGUCUAUAAUUUUGUGCCAUUUAACCUAAUCUAAAAUCAAUGUACGUACACACACACACACCCUCCAUUUUUCUGUCAUCCAUGUACCUAUCUAAAAGUUUCUUAAAUGUCCCUAAUGUAUCUAUCUGCCUCUACCAUUACCCCUGGCAGAGCAUUCCAUGCACUCGCCAGUCUCUGACUUGCCUCUGAUAUCUCCCCUGUACUGUCCUCCAAUCACCUUAAAAUUAUGCCCCUCAUAGUAGUUAUUUCUGCACUGGGGAAAAGUCUGGAUAUCGACUUGUUCUAUGCCUCUUAAUAUCUUGUACGCUUCUAUCAAGUCACCCCUCAUGAGGGGACAGUUCACACAAAGCAUCAUUGAAAUCUGGCACCCUCUUCAUCAUGGAAAACUGUUAAGGCUAGUUUCAAUGAAACUUGUCUGCACGAGUGAAGCCACGGUAGCAUAGUGGUUAGUGUGACGCUAUUGCAGCUCAGGGCGUUGGAGUUCAGAGUUCAAUUCCAGCAUCCUCUGUAAGAAAGUUUCUACGUUCUUCCCGUGAAUGCAAGGGUUUCCUCCAGGUGCUCUGGUUUCCUCCCACAGUCCAAAGAUGUACCGGUUAGUAGGUUAAUUGGAUAUUUUAAAUUGUCCUGUGAUUAAGCCAGUGUUAAAUAGAUGGUCGCUGGGCAGUGCUGCUUGUUGAGACAGAAGGGUCUUUUUUGUAAAUAAAUAAAUUAAUAAAUUUAGAUCAUUUGUUUUUUUAUAGGGAAGAGAAAUUAAUUUCAUUAUUAAUAGCUGGAUCUCACUACAUUAAGCCAUCUACCUGGACUUCUGUGUGUCCACUGCUACAUGUGGAAGUGAAGGACUUGUUGACUUGCGUGCAUUGCGUUAGAUUUAGCGUUAGUUUUGCUUUGCAGCUGAACUUCCUCUGGAGUCCUUUGGUGGAGCCUCGUGUUUCUGGCCUGCACGGUGUACAAAGCUAGUGAGAUUAACUGGGGGGACUGCAGUUGGAAAUUCUGGGUUAGCAGGACCUGGCCCAUCCUGUAGAACAUUCACAGUUGCCUCAUGUGAGCGAAAUGCAAUGCAUGACCAUUGGCAAAUACCCCAGACCAUGAUUGGCCCUCUGAUUGCCAGUAACAUCACCCUCUCUAU